rnacentral:rRNA from 1 species
AGGUUAAGUUAGAAAGGGCGCACGGUGAAUGCCUUGGCACUAGGAGCCGAUGAAGGACGGGACUAACACCGAUAUGCUUCGGGGAGCUGUAAGUAAGCUUUGAUCCGGAGAUUUCCGAAUGGGGGAACCCACUGUUCGUAAUGGAGCAGUAUCUUUACCUGAAUACAUAGGGUAAUGAAGGCAGACCCGGGGAACUGAAACAUCUAAGUACCCGGAGGAAGAGAAAGCAAACGCGAUUCCCUGAGUAGCGGCGAGCGAAACGGGAUAUAGCCCAAACCAAGAGGCUUGCCUCUUGGGGUUGUAGGACACUCAACAUGGAGUUACAAAGGAACGGGGUAGAUGAAGCGACCUGGAAAGGUCCGUCAGAGAAGGUAAAAACCCUGUAGUCGAAACUUCGUUCCCUCCUGAGUGGAUCCUGAGUACGGCCGGACACGAGAAAUCCGGUCGGAAGCUGGGAGGACCAUCUCCCAAGGCUAAAUACUCCCUAGUGACCGAUAGUGAACCAGUACCGUGAGGGAAAGGUGAAAAGCACCCCGGAAGGGGAGUGAAACAGAUCCUGAAACCGUGUGCCUACAAGUAGUCAGAGCCCGUUCAUGGGUGAUGGCGUGCCUUUUGUAGAAUGAACCGGCGAGUUACGAUUACAUGCAAGGUUAAGUUGAAAAGACGGAGCCGCAGCGAAAGCGAGUCUGAAUAGGGCGUUUGAGUAUGUGGUCGUAGACCCGAAACCAGGUGAUCUACCCAUGUCCAGGGUGAAGUCCAGGUAACACUGGAUGGAGGCCCGAACCCACGCACGUUGAAAAGUGCGGGGAUGAGGUGUGGGUAGCGGAGAAAUUCCAAUCGAACCUGGAGAUAGCUGGUUCUCUCCGAAAUAGCUUUAGGGCUAGCCUCACGUUGUAAGAGUCUUGGAGGUAGAGCACUGUUUGGACUAGGGGCCCUCAUCGGGUUACCGAAUUCAGACAAACUCCGAAUGCCAAAGACUUAUCCGUGGGAGUCAGACUGCGAGUGAUAAGAUCCGUAGUCAAAAGGGAAACAGCCCAGACCACCAGCUAAGGUCCCCAAGUUUACGUUAAGUGGAAAAGGAUGUGGAGUUGCUUAGACAACCAGGAUGUUGGCUUAGAAGCAGCCACCAUUUAAAGAGUGCGUAAUAGCUCACUGGUCGAGUGACUCUGCGCCGAAAAUGUACCGGGGCUAAACGUAACACCGAAGCUGUGGAUUGACACCGU